AAAUUGAAGAGUUUGAUCAUGGCUCAGAUUGAACGCUGGCGGCAGGCCUAACACAUGCAAGUCGAGCGGUAGCACAGAGAGCUUGCUCUCGGGUGACGAGCGGCGGACGGGUGAGUAAUGUCUGGGAAACUGCCUGAUGGAGGGGGAUAACUACUGGAAACGGUAGCUAAUACCGCAUAAUGUCGCAAGACCAAAGUGGGGGACCUUCGGGCCUCAUGCCAUCAGAUGUGCCCAGAUGGGAUUAGCUAGUAGGUGGGGUAAUGGCUCACCUAGGCGACGAUCCCUAGCUGGUCUGAGAGGAUGACCAGCCACACUGGAACUGAGACACGGUCCAGACUCCUACGGGAGGCAGCAGUGGGGAAUAUUGCACAAUGGGCGCAAGCCUGAUGCAGCCAUGCCGCGUGUGUGAAGAAGGCCUUCGGGUUGUAAAGCACUUUCAGCGGGGAGGAAGGCGGUGAGGUUAAUAACCUUGUCGAUUGACGUUACCCGCAGAAGA
rnacentral:rRNA from 1 species